CUUUUUAAUGAAUGGAGGGCGGCGGCGACUGCUGCAGCUGGCUCAGCUGCGUGGGUUGUACCCUCCUCCCAGCCUGCAAGAGGAGGAACCUAGUGGAGGAUUUACUCCAAGGAAACAGGCAAUCAGGAAAAGUGAUUGGAUGCCAGGAGGCGGACAGCGACAGCUAGGCAGGCAGGAGCUGUGAGAAGCGUUGACUGGCUGCCUUUAGCGAUUUCCCGUAGUCCAUGGCCAUUACAACAUCAAAGAGUCAGGAGCCAAAUGCUCUUCGACAGGAAACUGGCUGCAGCCAUCAUCGGAUGAACAUGGAGUGAACGCUUAGGGACUUCAAAUACAGCUGUCCAGUUCUGGAGCGUCAUCUCCACUGUACCAUGUGCCGUGAUUUAGGAGAGUUUUCUGGGCUCUGCGUCCUGAAGGCAUCUCACAUCACUGAGUUAUCUUCAACGAUCCUGUUACCUGCCCUGUGGUAGCCAGAGUCCACGACCUGCCUUAAACUCCUUCUGCAUAAUCGAGUGCUCUCACCUGCACAGCCCUUGAGCUUUGGGCCAGCCAGCUGCUCAUCUCUCUGGGCCUGGGCAUACUGCAGAAUUUUGCAGGAAGGUCCUGUGAGCAGACCAGCAUUCCACUGUAGCUCUUUUCUUUUUUUAGACUGGAUUUCAAUAUGUUGACAACGCUGAUCUCCAAGUCUCAGAGAUCCACCUGCUUCCACCUCCCAAAUGCUGUUUAAAGGCCU